rnacentral:rRNA from 1 species
AGCCAGAGCCAUAUCAUCCUGCAGCUCUCGCCUGGUUUCCCACUGAAGCUAAACAGAGUUGAGCAUGGCCAGCACCUAGAUGGGAGACCAGCAGGGGGUGCUCACCCUGUGGUCU